rnacentral:rRNA from 1 species
AGAACGAACGCUGGCGGCAGGCUUAACACAUGCAAGUCGAACGCCCCGCAAGGGGAGUGGCAGACGGGUGAGUAACGCGUGGGAAUCUACUUGGUUCUACGGAAUAACUGAGGGAAACUUCAGCUAAUACCGUAUACGCCCCAAGGGGGAAGAUUUAUCGGUGCCAGAUGAGCCCGCGUUGGAUUAGCUAGUUGGUGGGGUAAUGGCCUACCAAGGCGACGAUCCAUAGCUGGUCUGAGAGGAUGAUCAGCCACACUGGGACUGAGACACGGCCCAGACUCCUACGGGAGGCAGCAGUGGGGAAUAUUGGACAAUGGGCGAAAGCCUGAUCCAGCCAUGCCGCGUGAGUGAUGAAGGCCUUAGGGUUGUAAAGCUCUUUCAGUGGGGAAGAUAAUGACGGUACCCACAGAAGAAGCCCGGCUAACUUCGUGCCAGCAGCCGC